rnacentral:rRNA from 1 species
GACGAACGCUGGCGGCGUGCUUAACACAUGCAAGUCGAACGGAAAGGCCCUGCUUUUGUGGGGUGCUCGAGUGGCGAACGGGUGAGUAACACGUGUGUAACCUGCCCUUGACUUUGGGAUAACUUCAGGAAACUGGGGCUAAUAUCGGAUAGGAGCUCCUGCUGCACGGUGGGGGAUGGAAAGUUUCGGCGGUUGGGGAUGGACUCGCGGCUUAUCAGCUUGUUGGUGGGGUAGUGGCUUACCAAGGCUUUGACGGGUAGCCGGCCUGAGAGGGUGACCGGCGACAAUGGGACUGAGAUACGGCCCAGACUCCUACGGGAGGCAGCAGUGGGGAGUAUUGCACAAUGGGCGGAAGCCUGAUGCAGCAACGCCGCGUGCGGGAUGACGGCCUUCGGGUUGUAAACCGCUUUCGCCUGUGACGAAGCGGGAGUGACGGUAAUGGGUAAAGAAGCACCGGCUAACUACGUG